AACAUACUCCCUCCGUCCCAAAAUUCUUAUCUUAAAUUUAUCUAGAUAUGUACGUAUUUAACACUAAAAUGUAAAUAGAUAUAUCUGUAUGUAGAUAAAUCUAAAACAAGAAUUUUAGGACGGAGAGAGUACUUA
rfam:Triticum aestivum genome assembly, contig: Triticum_aestivum_CS42_TGACv1_scaffold_436239_5DL